GUCAGCAGCCGCGGGAACACCGGCGGCCCGAGUGGUGAUCGUGAUUAUUGGGUCUAAAGGGUCCGUAGCCGGUUUGGUCAGUCCUCCGGGAAAUCUGAUAGCUCAACUAUUAGGCUUUCGGGGGAUACUGCCAGACUUGGAACCGGGAGAGGUAAGAGGUACUACAGGGGUAGGAGUGAAAUCUUGUAAUCCCUGUGGGACCACCUGUGGCGAAGGCGUCUUACCAGAACGGGUUCGACGGUGAGGGACGAAAGCUGGGGGCACGAACCGGAUUAGAUACCCGGGUAGUCCCAGCCGUAAACGAUGCUCGCUAGGUGUCAGGCAUGGCGCGACCGUGUCUGGUGCCGCAGGGAAGCCGUGAAGCGAGCCACCUGGGAAGUACGGCCGCAAGGCUGAAACUUAAAGGAAUUGGCGGGGGAGCACAACAACGGGUGGAGCCCUGCGGUUUAAUUGGACUCAACGCCGGACAACUCACCGGGGGCGACAGCAAUAUGUAGGCCAAGCUGAAGACUUUGCCUGAAUCGCUGAGAGGAGGUGCAUGG
rnacentral:rRNA from 1 species